ACUCAAGAACGAUGGAGAUAACUGCAUACUUUGACACCAAAGAAUCCAAAAAACGGUACCUGAAGCAUAAAUUACAUUUCAGCAUAUCUGACUCUUUUAUGGAGUUUUUUAAUGGAAAAAUAGAGUCCAGCAAAGCGGCUGAAAAACUCAAUGGAGACCAAUUUUGACGUUCAGGUCAACCGUGAAAGGAUUCCCCAUAGCCAGAUGGUAACAAACAUGUUCUUGUGCCUGUGAUUGAUUCCCUUCAGCAGAAUGCCAAAUCACGUUUUCAUGGUCUGAGGGACACCAUUGGUUUUAACUUGGCUGGGCUGUGUUUCAUUCAAAACGAGAUAGAAGCUAGAGAGGAGAAUCUUUUUGCAAACGCGACCUGAAAAAGUGAGAAAGAGUCGGAAGAAAUACAAAUCGAAUUUUGUAUAAGUUGUGAAAUAACUGU